rnacentral:sRNA from 1 species
GCUGGGUGUGGUGGCACACUCCUGUAAUCCCUGCAGCUCUGGAGGCUGAGGCAGGAGGAUCAUAAGUUUGAGACCAGCCUGGGCAAUUUAGAGAGGCCCUAAGCAACUUAGUGAGACCCUGUCUCGAU